CCCCUAGAUGUUCUGGGCCGCACGCGCGCUACACUGAACAGUUCAACAAGUCUUAACCUUGGCCGAUAGGUCUGGGUAAUCUUUGAACGCUGUUCGUGAUUGGGAUAGACCUUUGCAAUUAUGGGUCUUCAACGAGGAAUUCCUAGUAAACGCAAGUCAUAAGCUUGCAUUGAUUACGUCCCUGCCCUUUGUACACACCGCCCGUCGCACCUACCGAUUGAAUGGUCCGGUGAAAUCUCGGGACGGCGGCUUGGUCGCUUGCGUCCGACUGCUGAAACUUGAUUAAACCAUAUCAUUUAGAGGAAGGUGAAGUCGUAACA
rnacentral:rRNA from 1 species